rnacentral:rRNA from 1 species
UACGUAGGGGGCAAGCGUUAUCCGGAUUUACUGGGUGUAAAGGGAGCGUAGGUGGCAUGGCAAGCCAGAAGUGAAAACCCGGGGCUUAACCCCGCGGAUUGCUUUUGGAACUGUCAGGCUGGAGUGCAGGAGGGGCAGGCGGAAUUCCUGGUGUAGCGGUGAAAUGCGUAGAUAUCAGGAGGAACACCGGUGGCGAAGGCGGCCUGCUGGACUGUAACUGACACUGGGGCUCGAAAGCGUGGGGAGCAAGCAGG